AUUGAACGCUGGCGGCCGGCCUAACACAUGCAAGUCGAGCGGAUGAAGGACGAUUGCUCCUGGCUUCAGCGGCGGACGGGUGUGUAAUGCCUAGGAAUCUGCCUGGCAGUGGGGGAUAACGCCUGGAAACGGGCGCUAAUACCGCAUACGUCCUGAGGGAGCAAGUGGCGGAUCUUCGGACCUCACGCUAUCAGAUGAGCCUAGGUCGAAUUAGCUCGUUGGCGGGGUAAAGGCCUACCAAGGCGACGAUCCGUAACUGGUCUGAGAGGGUGAUCAGUCACGCUCGAAUUGAGACACGAGCCAGACUCCGAGGGAAGGCAGCAGUUUGGAAUAUUGGAGAAGGAGCGAAAUCCUGGUACAGCCAUACCGCGUGUGCAAAUAAGGUGUUCGUAUUGUAAAUCACAUGAGGUUGGGGGGAACGGCAGAUAGUUAUAGCCUUGCUGUUUGGAGGUUACCAACAGAAUAGGCCAGGGCUAGCUUCAUG
rnacentral:rRNA from 1 species